CAGUAGCCGCGGUAAAACGUAGGUGGCAAGCGUUGUCCGGAUUUAUUGGGCGUAAAGCGAGCGCAGGCGGUUUCUUAAGUCUGAUGUGAAAGCCCCCGGCUCAACCGGGGAGGGUCAUUGGAAACUGGGAGACUUGAGUGCAGAAGAGGAGAGUGGAAUUCCAUGUGUAGCGGUGAAAUGCGUAGAUAUAUGGAGGAACACCAGUGGCGAAGGCGGCUCUCUGGUCUGUAACUGACGCUGAGGCUCGAAAGCGUGGGGAGCGAACAGGAUUAGAUACCCGAGUAGUCCCUGUCUCUUAUAA
rnacentral:rRNA from 1 species